UACGUAGGGGGCAAGCGUUGUCCGGAUUUAUUGGGCGUAAAGAGCGUGUAGGCGGUCUGGUAGGUCCGUUGUGAAAACUCGAGGCUCAACCUCGAGACGCCGAUGGAAACCAUCAGACUAGAGUCCGGAAGAGGAGAGUGGAAUUCCUGGUGUAGCGGUGAAAUGCGCAGAUAUCAGGAAGAACACCCGUGGCUAAGGCGGCUCUCUAGUACGGUACUGACGCUGAGACGCGAAAGCGUGGGGAGCAAACAGG
rnacentral:rRNA from 1 species